AACGAACGUUAGCGGCGCGCUUAACACAUGCAAGUCGCACGAGAAAGGGAGCAAUCCCCGGUAAAGUGGCGCACGGGUGAGUAACACGUAGGUAAUCUGCCUCUGAGUGGUGGAUAACCUCCCGAAAGGGGGGCUAAUACAGCAUAAGACCACGGUCUGGAAACGGACUGAGGUCAAAGCCGGCCUCUUCAUGAAAGCUGGCGCUCGGAGAUGAGCCUGCGGCCCAUCAGCUAGUUGGCGGGGUAAUGGCCCACCAAGGCUAAGACGGGU
rnacentral:rRNA from 1 species